rnacentral:rRNA from 1 species
CAAGCGGAUCUCUUAAAGCCGUUCUCAGUUCGGACUGUAGGCUGCAACUCGCCUACACGAAGCUGGAAUCGCUAGUAAUCGCGGAUCAGCACGCCGCGGUGAAUACGUUCCCGGGCCUUGUACACACCGCCCGUCACACCAUGAGAGUCUGUAACACCCAAAGCCGGUGGGAUAACCUUUAUAGGAGUCAGCCGUCUAAGGUAGGACAGAUGAUUAGGGUGAAGUCGUAACAAGGUAGC